rnacentral:snRNA from 1 species
AGCUUUGCACAGUGGUAGUAUCAUAGCCAGUGAGGUUUAUCCAAUGCACGAUUAUUGCUAAUGGAAAAUCAUGAUAUAUUAAAAAUAGAAAAAUAAUAUUCUUUAAAUUCAUGUGUCCCCCCUCA